rnacentral:rRNA from 1 species
GGCGCAGCCCUGAUCCAGCCAUGCCGCGUGAGUGAAGAAGGCCUUCGGGUUGUAAAGCUCUUUCGGCCGGGAAGAAAUCGCAUGGGUUAAUACCCUGUGCGGAUGACGGUACCGGCAUAAGAAGCACCGGCUAACUACGUGCCAGCAGCCGCGGUAAUACGUAGGGUGCGAGCGUUAAUCGGAAUUACUGGGCGUAAAGCGUGCGCAGGCGGUUUUGUAAGACAGGCGUGAAAUCCCCGGGCUCAACCUGGGAACUGCGCUUGUGACUGCAAGGCUAGAGUACGGCAGAGGGGGGUGGAAUUCCACGUGUAGCAGUGAAAUGCGUAGAGAUGUGGAGGAACACCAAUGGCGAAGGCAGCCCCCUGGGUCGAUACUGACGCUCAUGCACGAAAGCGUGGGUAGCAAACAGGAUUAGAUACCCUGGUAGUCCACGCCCUAAACGAUGUCAACUAGGUGUUGGGUGGGUAAAACCAUUUAGUAUCCAAGCUCACGCGUGAAGUUGACCCCGUGGGGAGUACAGCCGCAAGGUUAACUCUCAUGAG